UACAGAGGGUGCAAGCGUUAAUCGGAUUUACUGGGCGUAAAGGGCGCGUAGGUGGUUAUUUAAGUGAGAUGUGAAAGCCCCGGGCUCAACCUGGGAACUGCAUCUUAUACUGGGUAACUGGAGUACAUGAGAGGGUAGUGGAAUUUCCGGUGUAGCGGUGAAAUGCGUAGAUAUCGGAAGGAACACCAGUGGCGAAGGCGGCUACCUGGCAUGAUACUGACACUGAGGCGCGAGAGCGUGGGGAGCAAACAGG
rnacentral:rRNA from 1 species